rnacentral:rRNA from 1 species
AGCAGCCGCGGUAAUUCCAGCUCCAAUAGCGUAUAUUAAAGUUGUUGCAGUUAAAAAGCUCGUAGUUGAAUUUCGGGAUCAGAUUGUCGGUCGUGCCUCGGUACGCACUGGCAUUAUUGGUUCCUACCUUCUGAAGAACCGCGAUGUCAUUAAUUUGGUGUCGUGGGGAAUCAGGACUGUUACUUUGAAAAAAUUAGGGUGUUUAAAGCAGGCGCACGCUUGAAUACAUUAGCAUGGAAUAAUGAAAUAGGACGUUUGAUUCUAUUUUGUUGGUUUCUAGGAUCGACGUAAUGAUUAAUAGGGAUAGUUGGGGGCAUUAGUAUUCAAUUGUCAGAGGUGAAAUUCUUGGAUUUAUUGGAGACUAACUACUGCGAAAGCAUUUGCCAAGGAUGUUUUCAUUAAUCAAGAACGAAAGUUAGGGGAUCGAAGACGAUCAGAUACCGUCGUAGUCUUAGCCAUAAACUAUGCCGACUAGGGAUCGGAUGAUGUUGAUUUUUUAAUGACUUA